rnacentral:misc_RNA from 1 species
AAACUUACAGAAUCUAGAAGCUCUACAAAGAGUUUGUCAUGUGACUACGACGAGACUUUGAUGAAAGAAUGCGACGACAGCGACGAUAAUGUGUUUUAUGACGUAAAACCUAAAGACUCUGGUUACAUUUGCCUACAAAGCAUCCCUCUCUUACCGUCCAGAACAUCGUAUUGUAGUUCCUCCUCGGACGGGUUCCCCCAAGAUGGACCUCUAGAUCUCAGACAACGACGGUCAAGUUCUACCCAGGGGAAGGACAGCGAAAACGAACCAGUCUCUAUACAGAAACUACGUCACAAAAGAAUGUUUACCAAUAGUCGGGAACGCUGGCGGCAACAGAACGUCAAUGGCGCGUUUGCGGAUCUUCGUAAACUCGUUCCGACGCACCCACCAGAUAAAAAACUCAGCAAACACGAAAUUCUACGUUGUACUAUACGCUAUAUCAGACUUUUAGAGAACGUUUUAGAAUAUCAGAGUCACGGUGACGUUAAACGUGUGAAAACAGAACAGGAAGUAAGUGAGGAUUGGAACAGAGUUUACGAGGAAUCGUCCGAUGAUGAAAGUCUGCAUUCAGCGUAAUACAUUCUGUGUGUGGUGGUUUUUGUUGUAGUUUUCUUUAAAGGGGGUGGGAAGCAUUGCAUAGUCUUCAAAGAUAAUUACAAAAUAAAUGCAUCAGGCUGAUUUUGAUGAGCUUGACUACUAGUAUUUGCAAAGAUAUGUGUGCGUACGUUGUUGUUUAUUUGUUUGGGUUUUCUUUAAUAUAUACACUGUAUAUAUUAUAGUCCAUACAUAUUAAAUAAGCACGGCAUUGGAUUUAUUAUUAACGAAAUUUCAGCGUUAUAGAUCUAAAGGUCUGAACAGGGUGGUGUUUACUGAAGAAAUUCAUUAUCAUUUUUCUUCCUGUAAAUUCCUAAGUCGAACGUUUGGAUUUUGGGCAAUGCAUGAAAAAGUAUUAGUCUCCUCUGUUUAUUUUCAUGUUAAGAGGGAUGGAUGGUCGUGUCUAUUUUAAAACCAUAUUAAUCUCUUUGCAAAGAAGAGCUUUAAACUAAUAUAAAGGAAAUUUCAAAGUUAAAGUAUUUGGAAUUUUUCUGCACUUUAUAAUAGUUUAUGAUUAAAUGAUUAAAAUGAAAUGAAAAUGUACUAUUUAAUAAACAUAUCUCAAACAUU